rnacentral:rRNA from 1 species
UACGUAGGGGGCAAGCGUUGUCCGGAAUCAUUGGGCGUAAAGGGCGUGUAGGCGGCUCGGUAAGUCCGCUCUGAAAGCCCGGGGCUCAACCCCGGGAGGCGGGCGGAUACUGUCGGGCUAGAGUCCGGAAGAGGGGAGUGGAAUUCCUGGUGUAGCGGUGAAAUGCGCAGAUAUCAGGAGGAACACCAAUGGCGAAGGCAGCUCGCUGGGACGGUACUGACGCUGAGGAGCGAAAGCGUGGGGAGCGAACAGG